UACGGAGGAUGCAAGCGUUAUCCGGAAUGAUUGGGCGUAAAGCGUCCGCAGGUGGCUGUGUAAGUCUGCUGUCAAAGAGCAAAGCUCAACUUUGUAAAGGCAGUGGAAACUACACGGCUAGAGUGCGUUCGGGGCAGAGGGAAUUCCUGGUGUAGCGGUGAAAUGCGUAGAGAUCAGGAAGAACACCGGUGGCGAAGGCGCUCUGCUAGGCCGCAACUGACACUGAGGGACGAAAGCUAGGGGAGCGAACGGG
rnacentral:rRNA from 1 species